rnacentral:lncRNA from 1 species
AUGGUGUCUCAGACUUCCUGCCUAACACUGCCACAGGCAUCACUGAUUUUAUGUGUAACACAUCUCAUGGCAUCUCUGAAUUUGUGUGUGGCACUCCCGCUGGUGUCUCUGACUUUGUGUGUCACAGUCCCCCUUGUUCCUCUGACAUCAUGUCACACUCCCCCUUGUGUUUCUGAGUUCUUUCAUCAUAGGUCCCCAACUGCCUAUAUCUUUGUGUGUAACACUCCCACUGAUGUCUGUUACUUUGUGUAUAACACUCACCCUGGCUCAUCUGACUUUGUGUGUAACAGUACCCAUGGUGCCUCAGAUAUCAAGUCACACAUCCUUCGUGUCUCUAACUUCAUGUGUCACACUCACUGUGGUGUAUCUGACAUUCUCCCUGUCAUCUCUAACUUGUGUAACUCUCCCCCUGGCAUCGCUGACAUUGUGUGUCACACUCCCUCUUUCAUCUAUGACUUUGUGUAUAACACUGCACGUGCCAUCUCUGAAUUUCUGAAUAACACUCCCCAUAGUCUCUCUGGCUUCAUGUGACCAAUCCCCUUGCUGUCUCUGAGAUCAUGUUUAACAUCAAACGUAGUGUCUCUGACUUAAUGUGUAACUGUUCUAUGUGGUGUCUGAAUUCGUAUAUCACAGUCCACCUUUCUUCUCUGAAUUAGUGUGAAACACUCCUUCUGGUGACUCUGACUUCUGAUGUCACACUCAACCUGGUGUCACUGACUUCAAGUGUAACACUCACCCUGGUGUAUCUGACUUCAUAUGUCACACUCCCCCUGGCAUCCCAAACGUUGUGUGUAACACUCCACAUGCCAUCUCUGACUUAACGUGUAACACUUCUCCUGUUUUCUUUGACUAAUUGUAUAACAGCCCUCAUGGUAUCUCUGAAUUUGUGUGUAACACUCCCCCUGGUGAUUCUGACUUCCGGUGUAACACUACACAUGGCAUCUCUGAUUUUCAGUGUAAUGCUGACCCUUGUGUUUUUGACUUUGUGCAUAACAAUCCCCAUUGGCAUCUCUGAUUUGGUGUGUCACACACUCUCUGAUGUCUCUGGCUUCCUGUAUAACACUACCCCUAGUGUUUCUGAUAUUGUCUGUCACACAGCACCUGGUGUCUCCAAUUCAUGUGUAACAAUCCCUAUUUUGUCUCUGACUUCGUGUGUCACACUCAGCCUGGCAUCCUGACUACAUAUAUGACACUCCCCAUGUCAUCUCUGACUUGUGUAAAACUGCAUGUGGUGUCUCUGAUUUCAAGUGUCACAAUCUGUCUGAUGUCCCUGAGUUCAUGCAUCACACUGCCUCUGCUUUCUAUAACUUCACGUGUAGCACACCAUCUGGCAUCUCGUACAUCCUGUAUAACACUUCCCCUUGCAUCUCAGACUUCACAUAUAACAUUCCCCGUUGCAUAUCAGACUUUGAAUGUCAAACAGUCCUGUCAUGUCUGACUACAUGUGUCACACUACAUGUGGCAUCUCUGACAUGUGUGUCACACUCACUGUAGCAUCUCUGACUUUCUGCAUAACACUCCCCCUGGUUUC